rnacentral:tRNA from 1 species
AAAGAUUUUUUAAAAAGAAGCUGCUAACUAUCUUUUAAAGCAUAUUAUGUUUAAUCUUUA